GCCUGGGUAGCUCAAUUGCUUAAGCGUCUGACUUCAGCUCAGGUCGUGAUCUCACAGUUCAUGGGUUUGAGCCCCACAUCAGGCU
rfam:Felis catus isolate Cinnamon breed Abyssinian chromosome E2, whole genome shotgun sequence.